CUUAAAAUAAUGUAUUUAAAAUCAAGUGGGUAGUACUCAUAACCAUAUAGUUCCAUUAAUCUCUCAGGGAUAAGUCACAUACUUCCUAUAAGGCAUCAAGGUUUUCUGGAAAGAAUAUUGAAUCUAGAAUUGUUGAAUAAUGAUUCAGAGCUGGGAAGAACUCCAGGAACCAUUCUCCAGCCCUUUAAACAAGUAGGAAACAAAGGCCCAAGGAGGAUCAUUGAAGGCACCUGAAGUCAAUCAUUAAAAUUAAAAACAUUCAACACAAGCCUGAUGAAACAGAUGGAUAGAGAUGAGGCAAAUGACAGGAAGCUGGAGCAUUGAUGGGAUUGGUUUUGGCAAACAGAAGGCUAAUACUGUUUUAGGAAGCAUCAUCCUCCCAUGAGAGACCACACAAGAUGAAGAUAUUCAUAAGACCAAUGGAUGAAGCAAUAGGACUGAUACACUGAAAAGUAACAUUGAAAUGAAACUAUAUUUUUACUCUAUAGUGCAAGGACUUUGGCCAAGCCAAGUUGCUGGGUCAGUUUUGUCCUCUGUAAAAUAUGGAGCUUAGCCUUUUGCAUUAACUCCCAGACAUAGACCUAUGAUCUGAAAAAUGAACUAGUAACUGAAGAAUCAGAGAAAUGGCCAACUUUAUCUCCCCCCACCCAGAUCUUUAAAAUGUUCUCAUGACAUAGUUACAAUAUCUGCCCCUUUUUCUAUGAACUAUAAGACAAAAGCAAUGCAUACUUCACUUCUGACAAACAUGCCAACAUAAUCUAUAAAAAGAGGAUUUACUUUUCCCCAUUUUCCUUAAUUGAGAUAGCAAGGUUCUGUCUUCAAAUUUCCUCUUUUUGCAUGGAUAUCUUCUUUAACAGAGAUCUAAUAUUCACAACUUAACUUGUGUGUUCCACUUGAGGUGAAUCCUCAGAGGAUUUAGCCACUUAUAACAUUAAUAGGCAAACUUGUAAACACAAGCAAUAAGGUAAAAUUUAAUUAAAUCCUUCAGAUUGUUUACUACCAUGUACUGUAGCCUGAAACUAUCCUAGCAAAAUUUUAAAGAUUCAAAAGCUGUUACC
rnacentral:lncRNA from 1 species